rnacentral:rRNA from 1 species
CUWCGGGAGGCAGCAGUAKGGGAAUYUUCCGCAAUGGACGAAAGUYUGACGGAGCAACGCCGCGUGAGUGAUGAAGGCUUUCGGGUYGUAAAACUCUGUUGUUAGGGAAGAACAAGUGCUAGUUGAAUAAGCUGGCACCUUGACGGUACCUAACCAGAAAGCCACGGCUAACUACGUGCCAGCAGCCGCGGUAAUACGUAGGUGGCAAGCGUUAUCCGGAAUUAUUGGGCGUAAAGCGCGCGCAGGUGGUUUYUUAAGUYUGAUGUGAAAGCCCACGGCUCAACCGUGGAGGGUCAUUGGAAACUGGGAGACUUGAGUGCAGAAGAGGAAAGUGGAAUUCCAUGUGUAGCGGUGAAAUGCGUAGAGAUAUGGAGGAACACCAGUGGCGAAGGCGACUUUYUGGUCUGUAACUGACACUGAGGCGCGAAAGCGUGGGGAGCAAACAGGAUUAGAUACCCUGGUAGUCCACGCCGUAAACGAUGAGUGCUAAGUGUUAGAGGGUUUCCGCCCUUUAGUGCUGAAGUUAACGCAUUAAGCACUCCGCCUGGGGAGUACGGCCGCAAGGCUGAAACUCAAAGGAAUUGACGGGGGCCCGCMCMAGCGGUGGAGCAUGUGGUUUAAUUYGAAGCAACGCGAAGAACCUUACCAGGUCUUGACAUCCUCUGACAACCCUAGAGAUAGGGCUUCUCCUUCGGGAGCAGAGUGACAGGUGGUGCAUGGUU